rnacentral:rRNA from 1 species
UAAUACGGGGGGAGCAAGCGUUGUUCGGAUUUACUGGGCGUAAAGGGCGCGUAGGCGGCGCGACAAGUCACUUGUGAAAUCUCUGGGCUUAACUCAGAGCGGCCAAGUGAUACUGUCGUGCUAGAGUGCGGAAGGGGCAACUGGAAUUCUCGGUGUAGCGGUGAAAUGCGUAGAUAUCGAGAGGAACACCUGCGGCGAAGGCGGGUUGCUGGGCCGACACUGACGCUGAGGCGCGAAAGCUAGGGGAGCGAACGGGAUUAGAUACCCCGGUAGUCCUAGCCUUAAACGAUGGAUGCUUGGUGUCCGGGGUUUUAUAGUCCCCGGGUGCCGUCGCUAACGCAUUAAGCAUCCCGCCUGGGGAGUACGGUCGCAAGACUG